rnacentral:rRNA from 1 species
AACGAACGCUGGCGGCAUGCCUAACACAUGCAAGUCGAACGGGAUCCAGGCUUCGGCCUGGUGAGAGUGGCGGACGGGUGAGUAACACGUGGGAACCUGCCUUUUGGUUCGGGAUAACCGCGGGAAACUGCGGCUAAUACCGGAUGCUCCCGAGAGGGGAAAGAUUUAUCGCCAGAAGAGGGGCCCGCGUCCGAUUAGGUAGUUGGUGAGGUAAUGGCUCACCAAGCCGACGAUCGGUAGCUGGUCUGAGAGGAUGAUCAGCCACACUGGGACUGAGAUACGGCCCAGACUCCUACGGGAGGCAGCAGUGGGGAAUAUUGGACAAUGGGGCAACCCUGAUCCAGCAAUGCCGCGUGAGUGAUGAAGGCCUUAGGGUUGUAAAGCUCUGUCGUAUGGGAAUAAGAAAGUGAAUGUACCAUGCAAGAAAGGAUCGGCUAACUUCGUGCCAGCAGCCGCGGUAAU